AUGGAGGCACAGUCUCUGAAGGAGGGGGGAGGGAUGGAGGAGGAUAAGGAGGCUGAGCCAGGUCUCUGGAUGGGUAUUGGGAUUAGGCAUUGUAAAGGAUGGAUGGAGCAGGCUGCACGCAGCUGUGUGUCCUCAGAGAGGGCAGACUCUUUCCAUCCCCAGCAUGGCAGAAAACACACGAUGGAAAAAGUCUUGAAAGAGAGGAAGGAAGGGAUCUGGUUUGGAUCAUUGCUGUGGCGAUGUCUGCAGAAUAAGGUGUUUAUUUUGGAAAGGGCUCUGUUUACAUGUCUGUUUUUAUGCGACACCCACAUAUGGAGAUGUUUGCUUUGCCGGGACCUCACAUUCCUCCCCGCACACACAACACACACGUCCCAGCUGGGACAAGUGGGGGGUCCCUUCGCUCCCAGGUCCCCACCAGCCAGCCCCCGUCCCUCCCUCGGGCAGCUGGGACAAAGCACGGUCACGCUGCAAAAUGUUUCCAGCCAAAGAGUGUCCAAAGUCUCUCAAAGUGCAGUCCCCACCACCCUGCAUGUCAGUGGACGGAUGUUAUGUCCCUCACAUUUAAGGCACCUCGGUCACAGCGCUGCAGAAGCCCCUUCUUCCUCUCCUGGCCCACGGUCACCCUCUCAUGGUGGCCACAGGUCAGCCAGAGCAUCCCCUCACGUUGGAGCUGCACGAGCACAGAUCCCACUGCAAUUCUUCCUCAUCUCCAUGCUGAGGUGUUGGACAAGCAGGGUUCAUAGGUCUCUGCUGCCCAGUGAAGAUCCUGCUGAUAGCCUGAUGUUUCAGGAGUGCUCACAGUGCAAGUCAGAGAGCCUUAAAGUGGUCCCCAGCUGAUUUUCAGACUGCACAGAGAAAAGCAGUGAGGGCUCUUGAAUACAAAAGAUGUGAUGCCUGCUCAGUCAUGAAGACCUGAUAAAAAUGUGGACAUAUUCUCAGUUUUUCCUUCUUUUAUUUAUUUAUUUUUUUUUAAUGAAAAUGCACUGAUUAUAAAAAUGGCAGUUUCCUAGAGAGGGAUGAAGUCAGGUGCAAAAGCGAACUAAUGAAUGGCAGCCUGUGGGUGCUUCGCUUGGUGCCAUGGUGCCCUGCUCAAGUGGGUGCCCC
rnacentral:lncRNA from 1 species